CUCUUUACGAAAGAUGUAAAGUAUGGCCUGCCCACUGACGUUUAAGUUAAAGGGCCGCGGUACUUUGACCGUGCGAAGGUAGCAUAGUCAAUAGUCUUUUAAUUGGAGGCUUGAAUGAACGGUUUGACAUGAGGGAAACUGUCUCAUUAAAAUUUAAUGAAUUUAACUUUUGUGUGAAAAGGCAUGAAUGUCUUAGGGGGACGAUAAGACCCUAUAAAACUUGAUAUUUAAUAGUUAAUUCUUUGAUUUAGGAGUAAGAAAGGUUUAGUUAUAGGUAUUGUGCUGGGGCGGCAUGGAUAAAAUAUAGUAACUGUCUUUAAGGUUAAAAUAAUUAUAAUUAGAGGUUGACCCUGAAUAUUUAGGUUAUAAGACUAAGUUACUUUAGGGAUAACAGCGUAAUUUCUUUUGAGAGUCCAUAUCGACAAAGACAGUUGCGACCUCGAUGUUGAAUUAAAGUUUUCUGGAGGAGUAGGAGCUUUCGGGAUAGGUCUGUUCGACCUUUAAUAACUUUACAUGAUUUGAGUUCAAACCGGUGUGAG
rnacentral:rRNA from 1 species